UGGGGAAUAUUGGACAAUGGGCGCAAGCCUGAUCCAGCCAUGCCGCGUGAGUGACGAAGGUCUUCGGAUUGUAAAGCUCUUUUAAGCAGGGAAGAUAAUGACGGUACCUGCAGAAUAAGCCCCGGCUAACUUCGUGCCAGCAGCCGCGGUAAUACGAAGGGGGCUAGCGUUGUUCGGAAUUACUGGGCGUAAAGCGCACGUAGGCGGAUUGAUAAGUUAGAGGUGAAAUCCCGGGGCUCAACCUCGGAACUGCCUUUGAUACUGUUAGUCUCGAGUCCGAUAGAGGUGAGUGGAAUUCCUAGUGUAGAGGUGAAAUUCGUAGAUAUUAGGAAGAACACCAGUGGCGAAGGCGGCUCACUGGAUCGGUACUGACGCUGAGGUGCGAAAGCGUGGGGAGCAAACAGGAUUAGAUACCCCAGUAGUCCCUGAGCGGGCUGGCAAGGCGCAU
rnacentral:rRNA from 1 species